GAUGAACGCUGGCGGCGUGCCUAACACAUGCAAGUCGAGCGAAGCACUUUGCUUAGAUUCUUCGGAUGAAGAGGAUUGUGACUGAGCGGCGGACGGGUGAGUAACGCGUGGGUAACCUGCCUCAUACAGGGGGAUAACAGUUAGACAUGACUGCUAAUACCGCAUAAGACCACAGCACCGCAUGGUGCGGGGGUAAAAACUCCGGUGGUAUGAGAUGGACCCGCGUCUGAUUAGCUAGUUGGUAAGGUAACGGCUUACCAAGGCGACGAUCAGCAGCCGACCUGAGAGGGUGACCGGCCACAUUGGGACUGAGACACGGCCCAAACUCCUACGGGAGGCAGCAGUGGGGAAUAUUGCACAAUGGGGGAAACCCUGAUGCAGCGACGCCGCGUGAGCGAAGAAGUAUUUCGGUAUGUAAAGCUCUAUCAGCAGGGAAGAAAAUGACGGUACCUGACUAAGAAGCACCGGCUAAAUACGUGCCAGCAGCCGCGGUAAUACGUAUGGUGCAAGCGUUAUCCGGAUUUACUGGGUGUAAAGGGAGCGUAGACGGAUGGGCAAGUCUGAUGUGAAAACCCGGGGCUCAACCCCGGGACUGCAUUGGAAACUGUUCAUCUAGAGUGCUGGAGAGGUAAGUGGAAUUCCUAGUGUAGCGGUGAAAUGCGUAGAUAUUAGGAGGAACACCAGUGGCGAAGGCGGCUUACUGGACAGUAACUGACGUUGAGGCUCGAAAGCGUGGGGAGCAAACAGG
rnacentral:rRNA from 1 species